rnacentral:lncRNA from 1 species
AAAAACUGCCAUGCGACAAUCCAUUCGUAUCAACCGCUUGAUCAACCAUGGCAGGUAAGUCUGGAACAACAUCCCUUACAGUCUGAUCAACCACGACAUGUAAAUCAGGAACAACAUUCCCUUCCGCCUGAUCAACCAUGGCAUGUAAGUCUGGAACAACAUCCCCUCCCACCAUCGCAGUUGAUUCUGCAACUUCCAAACCACUAUUUGUAAAAU